rnacentral:lncRNA from 1 species
CGUCGGGAUCGUAACGCUGGCGGACCUCGAGGAAUUUGGCCAGGUUUGUGACUCGAGAGCCCAUGUCCUCGAACAUCGCGUUUUUGUUCUUCCCCCAGUGUGGCCUGCCUUUGUAUUUCUUGAGCAGCAUUUGCUCGAUCUCAUCCGUCGCGUCCUGGUCCAGCCGGGGCAUGUUUUGCCGGCGGUCUCUGAAGUAGAGCAGCUCGAAUGCAACUGAGUCCUCGGGCUCCGCGAGGUAGGCCGUGGAUCCUUUGAUGAAUCUGAGCUGUGCUCCGCCAUAGAUAUUUGCACCGCAGAGCUUGGUUGGGUCCAUUCCAUCGCGGAUCUUCUUUAUGUCUUGGAUGGCUUCGUUGAUCCUGGAGAGUGGGAUUGCUAGGGAUGUCUGGAAGUAGAAUUGUCCAGGAACGUCGGGGUCCCAGUAGCAUGUUAGCCUCUCCCCGGAUGCUGAUCGUGUGUUGUUUAGUGCAGUGUUUUGGCAGCCUCCAGCGGUUUGGAGCUGGUGAUUAAAUCCCACGACUGGAUAUCCGCGAAAGGUAUUGCUCCUGUCAUUCACCAGGCCAUCUCCGCUCGAGACUCGGUUCUCAACCCCGUUUAGUGAUUGUUGGCAGACGAAGGAAGCGUUCAUCUGGGACAUGAAGUUCUCCUCUACGUACAAGAAUCACAAUUUCAACGUAAGGUGAGAACUCUGAUUUUUAUGAGGUGUUGGAGCUUACCUCGGACUCUAGACUGUCUUACGUUUGUCUCUGGAGCAGGAUCAUUGCCAGCGUUCCUUCCCUCGCCAGGGGUACUUGCCGAGACCUUGUUGUCUACCCUCAGCAGGAUCUUCUUCUGAGAGAUGUAC